rnacentral:rRNA from 1 species
AUGUGCAGUGGGCGGACAGCAGCUCACGUGGUGGUGCCGGGGCCUCAACAGGUGCACAAUGGGGACUCCAUGCAUCUCCUGCGCACCGCAACCCUCCCCUUCCGGACACAGCAGAAACAAGGAUGUCGAGGCGGUUCAGGUUUGCCUUCACCUCCUCUCAUCUGCAGCUUCAUUCAGGCAUGGGCUUUGGAUGGUGGCCUUGAUAUUCCGCACAGUGACAAGAGAUUUGUUGGCUUCAAGAAGGAUGAGAAGCAGCUGGACACUGGGAUUCACUGCAACUACAUUUAUGAAGAUCAUGUUGCGGACUACAUGAAGUCAAUAGCUGAUGCGGAACCUGAGAAGUACCAAUUUCACUUUGGUGAGUACAUCAAGAAGGGGAUUGCGGCUGAUGACAUGGAAGCACUGCACAAGAAGGUUCAUGCUACCAUCCCUGCUGAUCCUACCAUGGCAAAAUCAACCAAGGAACCUCCGAAGAGGCACAAGAGCUCAAAAUUAAGAUGUCGUCAAUCCAAUAAGAGAAGCCAAGGAGCUAUUGGUGAUCGUGUGAUUUUGUUGGAUACCUGCGGCAUCGUGGUGUCGGACGCGACGGACGCUGCCAGGUUUCAGAAUGUAUCCAAGAUUGCAGGGAAGUUAAUUACACCAUCUGUGGAAGAUGGGUUGUGGAAGAUGGACAUAGCCCCUCAGGGAGGCCUGUUUGAGUUCCUGUAUGAAAGGAUAAAGAAGGGGCAUGUUGUCAUGGUAGUUGCUGAAGGCGUUGGUCAGGAGUUGAUUACCCGGACCGAUGACCAGAACCGAGAGCAGGAUGAGUAUGUCAACACGUUGUUCCUUGACGUUGACCUUCUUCUAUAA